UAGUAGUCAAAUAUGCAGAUCUAUGUCAUAUAUACAGAUAUGUAUAUGUGACUGCUACU
rnacentral:pre_miRNA from 1 species